rnacentral:tRNA from 1 species
UCUAAUAUGGCAGAUUAGUGCCAUGGAUUUAAGCUCCAUAAAUAAAGAUUUUCUUUUGUUAGAAAA